rnacentral:misc_RNA from 1 species
GAUGAAGAACGUAGCGGAAUGCGAUACGUAAUGUGAAUUGCAGAAUUCAGUGAAUCAUCGAAUCUUUGAACGCAUAUUGCGCUCUCUGGUAUUCCGGAGAGCAUGCUUGUUUGAGUAUCAGUAAACACCUCAACUUCCAUAUCUUUUUUGAAAUGGGAGUUGGACUUGAGUGAUCCCAACGCUUUUCCUCACCGAAAAGUGGCGGGUUACUUGAAAUGCAGGUGCAGCUGGACUUUUCUCUGAGCUAUAAGCAUAUCUAUUUAGUCUGCCUAAAAAACAGAUUAUUACCUUUGCUGCAGCUAACAUAAAGGAGAUUAGUUCUUGUGCUGACUGAUGCAGGAUUCACAAAGACAGGCUUCGGCCGACUUUGUAAACUCGAUCUCAAAUCAAGUAAGACUACCCGCUGAACUUAAGCAUAUCAAUAAGCGGAGGA